rnacentral:rRNA from 1 species
GUAGCGUAAUCAUUUGUUUUUUAAUUAAAAACUGGUAUGAAAGGUUUAACAAGUAAAAUAAGUUUAAAAUAAUAAGAUAAAAUUUAUAAUUUAUGUAAAAAUACAUAAGUGAAUAAAAGGGACGAUAAGACCCUAAAAGCUUUAUUAUUAAAUAUUUUUUAAUAUAGUUAUUAUUUGGAGGAUUUAAAAUAAUUUAACUGGGGCAGUUGUUUUUUUUACAAAUAUUCUUAUUGACAUUUAGGGUUAGAGAUCCUUUAUAUAAGGAUAAUUAGUAAAAGUUACUUUAGGGAUAACAGCAUAAUAAUAAUGGGGAGUUCUUAUUUAUAUUAUUGAUUUUGACCUCGAUGUUGAAUUAAAUUUCUUUAUAAAGUAGAAAUUAUAUUUGAAAGUUUGUUCAACUUUUAAAAUUUU